ensembl:lncRNA
CACACAGACACAUGGGUCAGAUUAUUCUACUGUGUAAUGAGUGCUUAAUGACUCUGAAAAUUAUUUAUUUUGUUGAUUAUAAUUUUACUUCAAGUUUUUGUGUGUUUUUACUCUCCAGGGGCCCAUGUUCCAUAGAAUUGGCCCUGCUUCUGAAGUGUCUGAAAAUCAUUCGUUUUAAUGAAGAUUUGAGGCUUCCGUCAGCAAGAACAGAGCUCAACAUUAUCCAAAUGAGCAGUGACAUGAUGUGUCAACUACCAUUGAGAGUACAGGGGGUAAGAUUGUUAUCCUGCUGGGUGAAGAUCUCAGCCAGGACUGGCAUCGCUUCCCAUCUUUUCUGA